AUUAGAUGACUGAGGGGUAAGUAAUGGUCUCUUAAACCAAUAACAGUAAAUUAACAAUUGCUUCUAAUGGA
rnacentral:tRNA from 1 species